rnacentral:rRNA from 1 species
AUUGAACGCUGGCGGCAGGCCUAACACAUGCAAGUCGAGCGGUAGAGGGAAGCUUGCUUCUCUUGAGAGCGGCGGACGGGUGAGUAAUGCCUAGGAAUCUGCCUGGUAGUGGGGGAUAACGUUCGGAAACGGACGCUAAUACCGCAUACGUCCUACGGGAGAAAGCAGGGGACCUUCGGGCCUUGCGCUAUCAGAUGAGCCUAGGUCGGAUUAGCUAGUUGGUGGGGUAAUGGCUCACCAAGGCGACGAUCCGUAACUGGUCUGAGAGGAUGAUCAGUCACACUGGAACUGAGACACGGUCCAGACUCCUACGGGAGGCAGCAGUGGGGAAUAUUGGACAAUGGGCGAAAGCCUGAUCCAGCCAUGCCGCGUGUGUGAAGAAGGUCUUCGGAUUGUAAAGCACUUUAAGUUGGGAGGAAGGGCAGUAAGUUAAUACCUUGCUGUUUUGACGUUACCGACAGAAUAAGCACCGGCUAACUCUGUG